UGGCAGUUAAAGAACAGAAACACAGCAAUAAGACUGAGAGGCUACGUUUUCCCAGUGCCACCAACUGGGAGUUAAGCUGACGAACAUUUUGAAAGCCCAGCCCAUUUCAUUCACAGCAGGAUGGCAGG
rnacentral:lncRNA from 1 species